CGGACGGGUGAGUAACGCGUGGGUAACCUGCCUUCAGUACAGGGGGAUAACAGUCGGAAACGAUUGCUAAAACCGCAUAAUAUAGCGAAACGCAUGAUUUUGCUAUCAAAUAUUUAUAGGUAUGAGAUGGGCCCGCGUCUGGAUUAGCUAGUUGGUGGGGUAAUGGCCUACCAAGGCGACGAUCAGUAGCCGGCUUGAGAGAGUGACCGGCCACAUUGGGACUGAGACACGGCCCAAACUCCUACGGGAGGGCAGCAGUGGGGAAUAUUGGACAAUGGGGGAAACCCUGAUCCAGCGAACCGCCGCGUGAGUGAAGAAGUAUUUCGGUAUGUAAAGCUCUAUCAGCAGGGAAGAUAAUGACAGUACCUGACUAAGAAGCCCCGGCUAACUACGUGCCAGCCGCAGC
rnacentral:rRNA from 1 species